GCGCGCCGACGACGGCGACUCGUUCCUGGCCGCGAUGGUGACGGCGACUCGCUCCUGGCCGCGACAGUGACGGCGACUCGCUCCUGGCCGCGACGGCGACGUUGGCCGGCAGCCGUGACCUGACCGUGACGGCGAAUCGCUCAUCCUCCUCUGCUCCACCAAGAACUGUUAAGAGUGAUUUGGAGGAUUCAAGAUUCUGUGAAGCUCUUUUGACAUUUAAAGCUCAGAACUGAAGAUAAUGGAUACGAGUAACCAUGAUGAUGGAUAUGAGUCAUGUACUGAUUCUGAGGAGGAGGAGGAGGAGGAGAUGAUGUUUCUUGUCUUCCCAACAAUAUAUUGUAUAUCUUCUAGGAGGGAAAAGAUUCCAGUGAACACAUCCAUUCUUACGGGAGCUAAGUAUAUCCGAGAAAUAUUGGAUGGCCACCCUCAACGGUGCCUUGAUAUUCUUAGGAUGGAAUCCCAUAUCUUCCAACUUCUAUGUGAC